rnacentral:lncRNA from 1 species
AAAAAAAAAAAAAAGGUGAAAAAAAAAAAGUUUCUUUUACAUACUCUCUCUCUCUCUCUUUCUUUCUCUCUCUCUCGCGUAUAGGCACCAAAGGGGGAGGUAGCCCUUUUUUUGGGCUGGCUGACAGAGGAGGGGUGCCAUGUGCACCCCAUCCUUUGUCCGUACAACAGAAAAAAAAGGGGAACUUCCGUUCUUAUUCGGCGACAACGGCAACAAUAAUCACGACGACUUCUACGACAGCAGGAGACAUGCAUGCAUACGCGUAGCCUAAGUGCGUAUUUUUUGUCAAUUUGAUCAACCCGACCAUCUUUGUGAUAGGUUUCGAACCGAUCGAAUUUGACAUUAAAUCGCAGCUUCCGUCGCGCGUAUGCAUCACUAAUCCCUAAACCGUACUUUUUUUUUUGUCUAUUUGAUCAACCCGACCAUCUUCGUGAUAGGUUUCGAACCGAUCAAAUUUGACAUUAAAUCGUAGCUUCCGUCGUAUGCAUCGCUAAUCUCUAACCGUGCGGCCAUCUUCGUGAUAGGCUCGACAUGGUCAAAAUGACUGAUCGAAUCGGAUGUUUCAUUACGUAAACCGUGCGGCCAUCUUUGUGAUAGGCUCGACAUGGUUAAAAUGGGUGAUCGAGCAUCAUUAAUGUUGUUACGAAAACUGUGCGGCCAUCUUCGUGAUAGGCUCGACAUAGUUGAAAGCGUAAACCGUGCGGCCAUCUUCGUGAUAGGCUCGACAUGGUCGAAAAGAUUAAUCGAGCGGCCAUNNNNNNNNNNNNNNNNNNNNNNNNNCAACAAUACUCUAUGAAAAUUAGCAAAUCAGAUGAGUGGAGCAAACUCUUAGUUCAAUGUUCAGAAACAUGUUGACAAAUUAUUCCUUGGCCUCUAGGACGUAAAAACCUCACAUAACAGUUAUCUGGCCCAACAUGCUAGUUAAAAUUUGACCUACCGUUCAAUAUGUGGUAAAACUAAUAUGAACCCCCCUCACCUGGACAGUUGUUGGUAAAUACUAAAUUUACACAAACUCAAAUGUUGAUAGGUGUGCGCUUUCUUCAUGUAAGUGCCGCAUGUAACCAUGCGUAUAUUCAAUCAUAGGAAAAUGCCAACACCCUUUCAAGGUAGAAGGCCACACAAUGGGUGUUGCGCAAAAAAACUAACACUCUUCAUUACAACUUAAUAUUUAUAUAUAGGAAAUUUUGGUCUUUAUUUCAAUUUACUACUUAAAUUGCAUCUAACAAUCAAUUUUUUGUUAUACAUGAUACUGAAAUAAUCUCAGACUCAUAUGAUGAAAUCAUAUAGUGAAUCUCAUACUCCCGAACAUAUGUAAUUUGAUUUAGGCCUUUAUAUAUAACAUACCUAGGUUAAUAGAUUAAGUGUAUAUGCAAUUAAAAUCCUUUUAUUAAUUGCAUGGUAACUUAAAUAACUUAACCCACCAUAAGAAUAUGACAUAUUAACUACGUCGCCUCGGAUUUAUAAUAUGUCAGCAAUAUCUUUACUUUCAUAUAUCAAAUAUAUGAAUAUGUUUUGUAUAUACUUUCACAUUAGGUUAAAACAUACAAACCCAAAUCUCAAAUCAGUACCAGCAAGAAUAAUUUUUGUGGCGACGACGAGUGUGCUCUAAUACCAUUGAUAAGGAAAUACGCACGUGCAUGUCAUUUAAUGUCACGACCUCCGGAUUACUCGUUUCCUCGGGCACGUUAACAGACCCAGUGUAUACAAAAAAAAUUUUCUAAGUACAAAGGAAAUGUUACCUGCCUUUUUUUUUCACCGUGCUAACAUAACAUAUACAUAUAACAAUUGUAUAAGAGCUGCUAAAUAAGAAAACAUAUAUAAAUACAAAGGUUCACUAUACUACAUAUAGCAUCAUAGAUACAAAAAUCAACUCGAAUCAGCGAGAUCAAAACAAUCAGUAUGUAUAAUAAACCCAAAACACUACACACUUACCUAUAGCUGGUACUCCCUCUAGCUCUGUGACUCGUUAGAAGGGCUCUAACCUCGCAACACCUUUUCCACGAUUACUAUCAGCAGUAGCAGCAGCGCAACCCGAAGGCUCUGCAAAAAUCCACAACUGGGUGCGGAGAACUUACUUGCAAAAGAAGUAGUCCUCAGUGGGUACCCGCUAACAACCUCAACGCGCUCUCACCCACUAAGCUCUACAGAAGAUAUGAUCAAUGAUAGUAAAAAUCUGAAAAUAAUCUACAGCUAUAUGCACAAUACUAUCAUGAUCGCAAAUAAUAUAUGUAGAUAAGCAGUCUCUGACCCAAUGCUUACUAGGGAAUUGUGAAACAUCCGUCCGCCUGUCGAAGCUACAGCAGCUAAGCUCAAAUCGCAAUGCCGUCGAGUGAGAGAGCUAAUCCAAUCAGGACCAACGACAUUAACGCAAACGCCACUAAGCCGACUCCGGAGUGGCACUCGGUGGGCGCUACCGCAAACACGCGAUUGCAGGAUACUUCUACCGAGGCCGCAAUGCAGGCUUCAGCAGACUAUAGUCAAAGUACAACAGUGUCCAAAACCAAACCACUGUGCCCCAUCGGCACAAUCUGAUGGCAAAAACAAGUAAUCUGGUCCAUCGUCCCACACUCAACGGCACCGACAGUCUGAACAGUGCUAAACAACUGCAUAUACAAAUUAAGCUCGGGCAUCUGUCAGCACGAGUGUGAAUUGAUUCUACACUAUUCUGGGUAUCCACCGUCACAAACCUGCGGCGAUACAAACAAACUACGGCUCCUAGAGGCUAAAUCUAGGUAGUUUUAACAAAUGAUUGUUUACGUGUAGAAUCGCUAGUUUUCUCCUAAAGUCAAAUUCAAUCCAACAUGUAUAUUUAACAAACAUUUUAAGCUCCAAUUCAGAAUUUCAAUAAGCAUGCAAAUCAUAAUUUGAGCGCAUUAAUAUAAUCUAACAAAUAACAAUCACAUGUUGACACAUAUUAAACUUAGAAGGAAAAUCCGCCGAAUUUCGACGUAAGCAUCACAAUUUAACCACCUCUAGGUAAUGCCACGGAGCACGAGGUCACAAGUUGCUGGAAAAGCCCUACAAGGACCAACCGAAUCAAAUCAAGAACCAGCAACCAAACUUCUCCAAAGAUCUAAACAUCAAAAACCAAAUGCUGCAUAUUACAAUUCCUAGAUUUCAGUACUAAAGGCUAAAUGUCCUCCAUGUCAUGUCAACUUUACCUUCUCCAAAACUCCAAUUCAGGUGAGAGAGAGAGCAUGCCCAAAUCCAUAAACUAAAAAGAGGAUCCACCUCAGGCUCUGAAAUCUAGCUUCCUCGAAAGAUUUGCAUCAAAGAAGAACCGAUAAAAUCAUUUCAGCUGUCAAAACAUCAACACGCAAGAAAAAUACAGAAAUUGACUUAUACUAACCUCAUCAAGAUGUUGUGCAAAAAGGCCUCCACGAAAUUCUCAAGAAUGCUUAGCUAACCAAUAACAAUUAUAUACCAUCGACCGUUCCUACACGGCAGCCGAGCCAAAACGGCCGCAAAGGUCGUGGUAGAUAUUCUGCCUAAAACAGCAAUCCUCAAGUGGCGAAUUGAGGCAAAUUGAAUGGAUUUAGAGGGUUUGCGAAUGGCGAUAUUUUAGCCUUCUCUCAAUGAGAGGAGAUGAAAGAGUAGUUCGACCCAGGUCGUACUCUCAGCCUAUUGUGUAGAGAGGUGAAGAUGAGAUAAGCCCGAGAGACAGAAGAGCAAAGAGCUGUGGGAUGUUCCAUGACAGAAACGGGCACUUUCGGGCGCCGGAACCAUUUUCUGGACGGUCGCGAAACCUGCGGCAGGUUGCAGCAAAUCACUCAUCUUCCGUUCCUCCGCUCGCGUGUGUCUGUGCUCUUAUGCCCUGUCCGGCGACCUCGACUAACCACCAGACACUGGUCAGCACAAUCGAUGAUUCACAAAGUUGAAACUUUCGGGCCCUCUUCUGGGCGUCUGAAACUAAGGAUCCGAAUUCGUCUCCAUGUUUGCUGCUUAGUUCAGGCACUCGAGUCUGGGUGUCCAAACCAUGACUAGGCGCCCGAACACUGGCAAAUACUCCCAGUUUUACUCCUUUGAGUCGGACGGAGUACUACUUCUCUGCAUCCCAUUUCAUGCAAGAAAUGACUCCGAUCAUUCUUCGACACCUCUCCCAGAGUGUGUGACCUCAGUCACUAAUAUUGUCACCAACCUUCCAAACUCCGAAUACAUACAUUAAUGCCAAACGGAAUAAAUUUUAUUUAUAAAUAUGACCAACUCUAUGUAUACUUUAAUCAUUCAAUAACAUUUUGAUUAUUAGUAUAUAUAUGUAACCAAGAUCAUCUCGUGUGACACAAAAAUAUGUUAUUUGCUAUUCUAAUAGAAGAAAGCGUUCGAAUUAUCAACCUGUGUUGAUUACUGAAAAUUAUUUUACGGUUUGAAUUUUGGAUCUGCAUCUUCGGGUUUUGUUCAGCCACACAAGUGUCGACCAUCUUAUAUUUAUCCCACACAAAGGCUGCAUCCUGGCAUUAUUGCUUCACGACAAUCAAGUAUAAAUCUCGAAACUCCUUUGUGUGAUCUCUUGUGUCAAUAUGGAGAAAAAUUAAUCACUCGAAUAAUUGUGCUAGCAAUUAUCAAGAAGAUUAACUAUAGAGGAACAAUUCUAUAUAGGAUGACCUCUCCUAUUUGAUUUAAAAAAUAGCUUACAUGAUUCAAGGAAUAUCCUAUUCUUCUAUUUCCUCCCAAUUCAUUUUGUGUGUGUGAUGAUUAUCAUCAUUGAGAGACUGCCUAACUCUUAUAGGUGGAGGCCAAAAAAGUUAGAGAGCCGGAGAAGAGGUGGGAGAAACGUUCUCAUAAUAGACAUUGAUUUCCUGCGCAAGUUAAUAAAACGAUCUCUUUUCUCCAAUUUGGAGAGGAGAGAGAAAGAAAGAAACACCACUAUAAUGAGAGGGAGAAGUUUAAACCUUACUCUCAUUUGAUAUUAUAGAGAAAAAGAGAGGAAAGAAAAAACGCUUUUCACUUUUCUUCUCCAUUAAUAGCUAACAAUUAAUACAGUAAAGUUUAAUUUUCUUUCUCUUUCCUCUUUUGUCUCAUCUCCCAAACAAUUAUAAAAGGGAAUUAAUACGAAAGAGAGUUGUACACCUCAAUGAGUGUUGCAACUAAUUGCCACAUAAAGCUACGUACUAAAUUCAAAUUAGUAUGUAGCGUCACUCUAUACAAAUUUACUUUUGCAAUAGAGUUUUUGCUAACCACUUAAGCAAAUAAAUUCUUACUUUGACUAUUUUAGCAAAUAGUCUCUGCUUAAUAUCUCCAAGCACUAGAUCACAUGCAGGCUUUAUUUGUGUGGACCACAUAGUGUUCAAUUCUACCUUGGUAGUGGAGCAUGUGACACUAAACUCUUUGAAUGCCACCAUCAAGCAACUCUCGCGAUGGAUCCCGUAAAAUAUUUUAGGCUCUCCAACUUAGUGUAAUUAACUACUUAAUUUACUCUUAUGGGUCCCACAAUCACUAGUGACACUAUAGCAGUAUACGGUGAUCCAAGUAGAAUUAAUAAUAGAGCAGACUCUGGCACGUUACCGUGUGAUAAAAAUCCUCUUUAUCAGUUGGUCCCCGAUUCGAGUUUGAAGGCCAGUUAUGGAUAACUUGUCAAAGCCCCGGCUUCCUUUGGUUUUAAAAUCGAUUGCGGAAGGCCCAAACUUUUUUUUAAUGAAAACCUUGACGGCAAAGGACGUCAGAUCCGCGCAACAAUACAGGAAAAUCCACUUUCACAUGACAGAGUUUUUCCGCUAUAUUUGCACGGCGUCGCAAUAGGUACAAGAUACAACCAACAGGUUAAACAACCACAUACAAUACCACAUCAAACAGAUACCAUUCAUCAUUUAUCCACAGUUUAUCUGUCACGGCCCUACGACCGCCCCACGUUGGUCGAAUUGGGUACGUCGACAGGACCGCCAAACGGAACAGGGUUUCCUCUGUACGUCCUACGUCACACUAUCCAUCAAUUUGCGCGGUUCCAACCUAGGAACAACAUUCAUACACAGAUUAAUAAGGAGGUAUCAAAAUAUAUAAAGCUAAACUAUUACAGCACAUUCAUCUCACAUGUAUUUACAUAUUACAUUUUUCCACUUAGCUCAAAUGCAUCCUCACUAGUACUAUUAUUUACUUUUGCUCUUCUUUUUCCCGUACCCUAAGUGUUAAUCAUUUUGGCACUCCGCGUGGAGUUGAUGGGUGUGAUAUCGGGUGUAACCCCUAGAUUCUUCCUAUGGAUAACACUGUUUGAAUCCUCCUUAGAAGAUAUAUGAUUGGCAGAUCCAUUCAUAAGAGCAAGUUAAAGCAGAUCUAGACUUCGCCCUCGAUCUGGUUGAGGAAGGUGAGAAGAAAUUUUAGCCAUGUGUCUGGCCGCGAACGUAACCUGCCCGCCGCAGGUUAUUUCUGGGCAGUGGGUUCAUUCAUGGUAGAGAUUAAAAUUUUGUUUAUAUUUAUUUUGAAAUCAGGAUGCAGUAGGUUCCAUGGCUUCCAACAGACAUCAAGGUCUCUGUAAUUACCGCAACACUUUUGUGUUAAGGACCCUCGAUUAAGAGACCAAUAUAAAUGUGAUAAUGAAGGAAGCAAAACAGGCACAUAAAAUCUUUAUUGAUAUGAUUUUGCCGGUUUACAUAGUUAAGCAUGGCAUACCCCCAAUUUUUGGUUUAAAAAACAUCGAAUUUAUCAGACUAAAUACUCAAGUGGCAUGUUCGUUGAAGUUUGAUCUCAGUUUUAAUAACAUGGCGGUCACAGUUUAAGUUUUGAUGCUAGUUUAAUGACUGGGGUCGAGUUCAAGUUUUGAUGCGCAGUUAAUGAAUGGCGGUCGAGUUCGAAGUAUUGUGAACACUCGCAGUCGUUUAAUUGUUAGGUUUAACGACUCCUUCCGGUCCGUGUUGAAGUGAGUUUUAGUUUAGCCAGACAUUUUCGGUCGUGUGAAUUUUGGUGGUCUUAGUUUUAGCGGGACAUUUCGGUCGUUUGAAGUUGAGUUUAGUUACGACAUUGUCGGCCGUCUUGAAUUGGUUUUUGGGCUUCGAACGUUAUGCUUUGUUCGAGACCCAUUCAAGACUUGUUUGGUUGGGUCGUCAAGACCCAUAAGGACUUGGCUCGGUUUGCGGUCUUCGAGUGACCCAUCAAGACUUGGCUUGUUUGGAUCGUUCGUGGACCAUCAAGACUGGUUUGUGGUCAAAAGUUCGGGACCCAUCUAAGACUUAGUUGCGGUAUUGGGUCGUCAGCGACCCGUCAAGGCUUGGUGUGGGUCUUUCGGGACCCAUCAAGACUUGAUUUGGGUCGUCGACCACAUACUGCGUUUCGAGUCAUUCGAGAACCAUCAAGACUUAGUUCGUUUGGCGCUCGUUCAGGACCCGUCAAAAGCUUGUGUCGUGAUAGUGUUGUGUCGUCGCGGACCAUAAGACUUGGUUUGGGGUUGUUCGGGACCCAUCAAGCGGUUCGUCGGUAAAAGAGUUUGGUUUGGGGUCGAUUCGGCCUCAAGACUUGGUUUGGUCAGUUCGGGGGACCCAUCAAGGCUUCGUUCGGUUUUGGGUCGUUCGCCGACCCUUAAGACUUGGUUUGUGGUGCGUGCGACCAAUCUAAGACUUGGUUUGGGUCGUUCGUGACCCAUCAAGACUUAGUUGAGUUGGGCGACUUCAAGUUUAUUUGGUCAUUUUUGGAUUUGGGUUGUUUAGUUUAGCAGACUUUAGCGGUCGGUUGAAUUGUUUAGUUUAACGCUUUUCGGUCGUUUGAAUUUGUUUAGUUAACGACUUUUCGGUGAUUGCUUAUUUGUAGGCUUUGGGAUUUUGGAUUUUAUGUUUGUGACUUUGGUUUGGGUUUUUUAUUUGUGGACUUCGUGGAUUUUGGGUUUUAUUUGUGGACUUGGGUUUUGAAAUUUUUUUGUGGACUUUGGGCGUUUUGGGUUUGAGUUUGAGUCGUGGGGCUUUGAAACCGUUAUGCUUUGGUUCGGAUCUAAGGUCCAGACUAUGGUUUGAACUUGGAUCUUUAUGGUGGUUUGGCUUGGAUCCACCUUGGUUCGAGUUAGACCCUGAUUGGAUUGAACCGAAUUCGCUCAAGUCUGGUUCAGUCGGAUCAUAGUUCGGUUCGGAUUUGGACCCACUUACAGCUUCAGAGCCAGGUUCUGAUUGGGUUCGGUUCAGUCGGAUCCAAUUCGAUCAGUUGAAUCUUCUAUGUCAUGUGUUCGGUUGGAUCUGUUAGGUUCAAUUCGGUCGAUCCUCGCUUACGAUCCAAUUCAAGUCGAAUCAUUAUGAUUUGGUUUCAGAGACGGGAUCCGGUUGCGGUUGCAGCUUGAAGUCGAGUAACGCUUCGGUUUAAGUGGAAUGGUGCUAGUGGUUCGGUUCGGACUGGGAUCUGGUUUGGUUCGAUCCGGGGUGUCGGCUCGGUUUGAGUUCGGAUAGUGACGGGAUGCCGGUUUGGUUUCGGAUCCGGUUCGCGUGUCAUUGGGUUGCGCGACGUACGAGAUCUGGUUCAAUUCAGUUAUGUCGCGAUCGGCACGGGAUCGAAAUUCGUCGUUCGGAUCCGGUUGCAGGUUCGGUCGUGAUCCGGUUCAGUCAGGUUUGGGUUCGGGGGAUUCGGUUGGUUCAGUUUGGUUUUGAUGAGACGGAUCCGCGAUUCGGGUUCGGAUCCGUGUUCGGUUCGGUUCCGGAUCCGGUUCAGUUCAGUUUGGUUCGGGACGGGAUUCAGUUUCGGUUCAGAUUGGUUAUCGGAUCGCCUUCGUUUAAGUCGAAUCCCUUGUUUGAUCGGCUCGAAUCGGCUCCACUUCGUUCGAGGUCGAAUGCUUCCAUUUUUUUUCGUUCGGAUGGAUCAAAUUGCAUGUGGACUGAGAUGACUUAGGCUUUAUAAUGUUAUAGGCCUUGGUAUCCGAAUCUGUACGUCUGAGCUUUGGGCCGAAUCUGUUGUGGGCUCUGCAUGCUUGGGUUUUUAUUUUAUUUAUUUAUUUAUUUUUUCGCGAUUACUGCUAUAGUAGAAUAACCCGAAUCCAACUCCUUAAAUUUCUUUUGUUUUUUUUUAUUUUGACUGGAGAAAAUAAAAGGAACAACUCCCCUUUUUUUUUCUUUUCUUUUCUUUAUCUUUUUUUUUGUCAUUCUUCCUUUCUCUUUUUUUUUUUUUUUUUAUUUUUUUUGACUUUUCAGGAGAUGAGAAGAGAAAGACCCAACUCUCUCUCUUCUUUUCUCUUGUGUGAUUACACAAAACCAGAGGGGGAGAGAGGAAUAACUCCUUUCUUUUUGUGUAUUUUUUCUUUCUUUCCUUUCUUGCUCUUCUUCUUCUUUUUUUUUUUUUUGAUACUUUUAUUCAUUCCUUUUUUUUUGCUCUUUUUUUUUUUGGACUGGAUAAAUAAUGAAUAAUACCUUUGUUUUGUUUCGAUUUCUUUUCCUUUUUUGUUCGUCUUUUUUUUUUUUGCUUUCUUUUAUUGAAUUUUUUUUUUUCUUCGUUUUUUUUUUGUUGAUUGCAACAAGAGAGAGGAGAAAGGGAGACCAAGCCCAACUCUCUCUCUCUCUCUCUCUUCACUCUGUACGAAAUAGAGAAACGAAGAAGGAGCAUUGCUCUGCUCUUUCUCCCUUUCUACUUUUUUUUUUAUUUGUUUCUUCUUGUUUUUUUUUGUUUAUUCAUUCCUUUUGUUUAAAUAACGAAGUUGAUCAACGCCGAGCAGUAUAUUAAUCGAUUCGAACGAGAGUGAGCGAAUGCAAAAUUAGAAUCUGUUCCAUUUUAUUAUUAUUUUUGUUAACACGUUUUUUAAGUCCGCGAUUAUCGUGUCGAGCCUCAUACGAAGUUCUCUCAAAAAAAAAAAAAAAAAAAAAAAAACCUUGUUCUGAAACUCUAAUUUAAAGUUCCUUUAUUUAAGUGUGGAACUGUUGUGGACUAAAAAAAAAAAAAAAGAAAGAAAGAGGGAGUUGUUCCAUUUUUUUAUUUUUCCAAUCAAAAAAAAAAGAAACAAAAAGAAAUUUUUAAGGAAUUGGAUUCGGGUUAUUCUAAAAAAAUAAAUAAAUGAAUAAAAAAAACACCCACAUGCAGAGCCCACAUACAGAUUCGGGCCCAAAGCUCAGACCGUACAGAUUCGGAUCUAAGGCCUAUAACAUAUAAAGCCUAAAGCUCAUCUCAGUCCACAUGCAAAUUUGGAUCCAUUCCGAACAAAAAAAAAAAGGAAGCAUUCGACUCGAACCAAAGUGGAGCCGAUUCGAACCACAACCACAAGGGAUUCGGCUUAAACCGAAGCGGAUCCGACCCAAGUUGAACUGAACCGAAUCCUGUCCGAACCAAACUGAACUGAACCGGAUCUGAACUGAACCGAACCGGAUCCGAACCGAAUCUGAUCCCGUCCGAUCCGAACCAAACUGAACCGAACCGGAUCUCGUCCGAUCAGAACCGAACUGAACCGGAUCCGAACCGAAUCGAACCGGAUCCGAACCGAACCGGAUCCCGUCCGAACCAAACUGAACUGAACCGGAUCCGAACCAAACCGAACCGGAUCCAAACCGAAUCGGGACCAAACUGAACUGAACCGGAUCUCGUCCGGUCCGAACCGAACUGAACCGAACCGGAUCCGAACCAAACCGGAUCCCGUACGAUCCGAACCAAACUGAACCGAACCGGAUCCGAACCGAACCGGAUCCCGUCUGAACCGAACCCAAUCAGAAUCCGACUCGAACUGAAGUGGGUCCAAUCCGAACCGAAUAUGAUCUGACUUGAACCGACUCGAGCUGAAUCCGGUUUAAUCCAAUCAGGGUCUAACUCAAACCAAGGUGGGUCCAACCCGAACCAAACCAUGAAGAAUCUAAUUCAAACCAAGUCUGGAUAGAUCCCGAACCAAAGCAUAACGGUUCAACCCAAACCCAAAGUCCGCAAACUCAAAAUCCAAAACCCAAAGUCCACAAAUAAAAACCCAAAAACCCAAAAUCCACAAAGUCCACAAAUAAAAACCCAAACCCAAAGUCCACAAACUCAAAAUCCAAAACCCAAAGUCCACAAAUAAAAACCCAAAAACCCAAAAUCCACAAAGUCCACAAUAAAAACCCCAAACCCAAAGUCCACAAAUAAAAAUCCAAAAUCCAAGCCUACAAUAAAACAAGACGCAAAGUCGUUAAACUACAAACAAUCCAAUUAAACGACCGAGAAGUCAUAUAAACCUGAAACCCAAGUUCCAAACGACCCGAAAGUCGUUAAAACUAAACAAUCUCAAACGACCGAAAAGUCGUUAAACUUAAACAAUUCCAAACGACCGUAAAUCCAAACUAACAACCAAAUCCAAAUGACCCAAUAAACUUGAAGUCGACCAACUCACAACUAAAGCNNNNNNNNNNNNNNNNNNNNNNNNNNNNNNNNNNNNNNNNNNNNNNNNNNNNNNNNNNNNNNNNNNNNNNNNNNNNNNNNNNNNNNNNNNNNNNNNNNNNNNNNNNNNNNNNNNNNNNNNNNNNNNNNNNNNNNNNNNNNNNNNNNNNNNNNNNNNNNNNNNNNNNNNNNNNNNNNNNNNNNNNNNNNNNNNNNNNNNNNNNNNNNNNNNNNNNNNNNNNNNNNNNNNNNNNNNNNNNNNNNNNNNNNNNNACUUUCUCCGUUUUGUCCGUUUAUUUUAAAAUAACUAUACUAAACGGCAAAUGUAUCGAAUUCGUCCCCGUAUGGGGGUGACAUGUACUUAAAAUAGUCUGAUUUAUGAGUUACCGUCAACCAACUUCAAAACUACGAGUCAAAUUAUUGUACCGCCAGUUCAAAUUCAAAACUACGAGUCAAAUUACUGUACCGCCAGCUCAAGUUCAAACCUACUUGUUGAAGCGUCAGCAAAUCUAACCCAAAUCAAAUUGCUGAAAGGCCAGCAAACUUCAACUCAAAUCAAAUCGCUGUAAAGCCAGCAAACUUAACCAAAACCCAGCUUGGCAAUACGAAACCAAGCUCUGGGUAGUUCUGAACCAAACCCAACCCAGCAAGUUCUGGGUAGUUCUGAACCGAGCCAAACCCAGCAAGCUCUGGGUAGUUCUGAACCGAACCAAACCUAGCAAGCCCUGGGUAGUUCUGAACCAAACCCAGCAAGCCCUGGGUAGUUCUGAAUCAAGCCAAACCCAGCAAGUCCUGGGCAGUUCCGAACCAAACCCAGCAAGCCCUGGGUAGUUCUGAACUAAACCCAGCAAGCCCUGGGUAGUUAUGAACCAAACCCAGUAAGCCCUGGGUAGUUCUGAAUCAAGCCAAACCCAGCAAGUCCUGGGCAGUUCCGAACCAAAACCAGCAAGCCCUGGGUAGUUCUGAACCAAACCAAACCCAGCAAGCCCUGGGUAGUUCUGAACCAAAUCCAGCAAGCCCUGGGUAGUUCCGAACCAAACCAAACCCAGCAAGCCCUGGGUAGUUCUGAACCAAACCCAGCAAGCCCUGGGUAGUUCCGAAGCAAGCCAAACCCAGCAAGCCCUGGGAAAUUCUGAACCAAACCCAGCAAGCCCUGGUUAGUUCUGAACCAAACCCAGCAAGCCCUGGGUUAUCAGCAUUUAUAUUUGGUCUCUUAAUCGAGGGUUCCUUAACACCAAAAGUGUGGGGUAAUUAACAGCAGACUCUUGAGUCUGUUGGAAGCCAUGAACCUAUGAUCCUGAUUUCAAAAUAAAAUUUAAACAAAUUUUAUCUCUACCAUGAAUGACCACUCGCCCUAGAAACAACCUACGGCGGGGCCGGUUAGUUCGCGGCAGACACAUGGCUAAAUUUCAAUUCUCACCUUCCUCAACCAGAUCGAGGGCGAAGUCUAGAUCUGCUUUAACUUGCUCUUAUGAAUGGGAUUCCAUCAUAUAUCCUUCUAAGGAGGAUUCAAACAGUGUUAUCCAUAGGAAGAAUCUAGGGGUUACACCCGAUACACAACCCAUCAAAACUCCACCGGAGUGCUCAAAUGAUUAACACUUAGGGUACGGGAAAAAGAAGAGCAAAAUGUAAUAAUAGUACUAGUGAGGAUUGCAUUUGGAAGCUAAGUGGAAAAAUGUAAUAUGUAAAAUACAUGUGAGAUGAAUGCUUGUAAUAGUUUAGCAUUUAUAUUUUUGAUACCUUCCUUAUGUAAUCUGUGUAUGAAUGUUGUUCCUGGUUGGAACCGCGCAAAUUGUAUGGAUUGUGACGCCUAGGACGUACAGAGGAAACCCGUCCGUUUGGCGGUCUGUCGACGUACCCGAAUUCGACCAAAGUGGCGGGUCCUAGGCCGUGACAGAUAAACUGUGAUAAAUGUGAAUGGUAUCUGUGAUGUGGUGAUUGUAUGUGGAUUGUUAUACUGUGUGGUUGUAUCUUGUACCUAUGCGACGCCGUGCAAAUAUAGGGAAAACUCUGUCCAUGUGAACAGUGGAUUUUCUGUAUUUGUGGCGGAUCUGACGUCCUUUGCCGUCAAGGUUUUCAUUAAAAAAAAAGUUUGGGCACUUCCGCAUCGAUUUUAAAACCAAAAGGGAGCCCGGGGCGUGACAAGUUAUCCAUAACUGGCCUCAACUCAAUCGGGACAACUGAUAAAAAGAUUUUAUCACACGGUAACUGCACCUAGAGGUUCUGUCUAUUAUUAAUUCUACUUGGAUCACCGCGAUAUACUGCUAAGUGUCACUAGUUGAUUGUGGGACCCAUAAGAGUAAUUAAGUAGUUAAUUACACUAAGUUGGGAGAGCUAAAAAUAUUUUGGUCCAUCGAGAAGAGUUCUGAUGGUGGCAUUCAAAGAGUUUAGUGUCACAUCUCACUACCAGGUAGAAUUGAACCUAUGUGGUCACACACAAUAAAGGCUGCAUGUGAUCUAGUGCUUGGAGAAUUAACAGAGACUAUUUUGCUAAAAUAGCAAAGUAAGAAUUUAUUUGCUAAGGUGGUUAGCAAAAACUCUAAUUGCAAAAGAUGAAAUUUGUAUAGAGUGACCUAAUACUAAAUUUGAUUUAGUACGAGGGCUUAUGUGCAAUAGUUGCAACAACUCAUGAGGUGACAACUCUCUCUUCGUAUUUAAUCCUUUUAUUAAUUGUUGGGAGAUGAAGACAAAAAGGGAGAGAGAAAGAAAAUAAAAUUAUACUUAUUAAUUGUACUAUUAAUGGAGAAGAAAAGUGAAAACGUUUUUUCUUUCCUCUCUUCUUCUCUAUACAUAUCAAAUGAGAGAAGUUAACUCUCCUCUCAUUUAUAGUGUGUGUUUUCUUUCUUUCUCUCCUCUCCAAAUUUGAGAAAGAGAUGUUUUAUUAAUUGCGAGGAAAUCAAUGUCUCAUUAUGAGAACGUUUCUCCCACCUCUUCCUCGGCUCUCUACUUUUUGCCUCACCUAUAAAUUGAGGCAUCUCUCAAUGAUGAUAAUCAUCACAACACAAAAUGAAGUGGGAGAGAAAUAGAGAAAAUUCUCCUAAUCAUGUAAAGCUAUUUUUUAAUCAUAAUAGAGAGGUCAUCCUAUAUAAAUUGUUCUCUAUAGUUAAUCUUCUUGAAAUUGCUAGCACAAUUUUGAGGAUUAAUUUUUCUCCAUAUUGACACAAGAGAUCACAAAAGGAGUUUCGAGAUUAUACUGUGAUUGUGUGAAGCACAGAUCCCGGAGCAGCCUUGUGUGGAUAAAUAUAGAGGUCGAACACUUGUGUGGCUGAAAAAACCCGAAGAUCAGAUCCAAAAUCAACCGUAAAAUAAUUUCGGUAAUCAACACAGGUUGAAAUUCGAACCUUUCUUCUAAUUAGAAUAGAAUAAUAAAUUUUGUGUCACACGAGAUGAUCUUGGUACAUAUAUAUACUAAUAUCAUAAAUGUUAUGAUAUUAAAGUAUACAUGAUUGGAUCAUAUUUUAUAAAUAAAAUUUAUUUCCGUUGCAUUAAAUGUAGUAUUCCGGAGGUUUGGAUAGGAUUGGUGACAGUAUUAGUGACUGGUCAACACAUCUGGAGAGUGUCGAAAUGAGUCGGAGUCAUUUCUGCAUGAAAGGGAUGCAGAAAUAGACUCGUCGCACUCAAAGGAGUAAAACUGGAGUUUUGCCAGUUUCGGGCGCCUAGUACAUGGUUUGGGACACCCAGAACUCGAGUGCUGAACUAAGCAGAACUGGAAGCGAAUUCGGAUCCUAGUUUCAGACGCCCAGAAGAGGGCCCGAAAGUUCACUUUGUGAAUAUCGAUUGUGCUGACACGUGUCUGGUGGUUAGUGAGGUCCGCCGGACCAGGAUAAGAGCACAGCACACCGCGAGCGGAGGAACCGAAGAUGAGUAUUUGUGCAACCUGGAGGUUUCGGACGUCCAGAAAAUGGUUCCGGGCGCCCGAAAGUGCCCGUUUCUGCAGGAACUGCAGGUUUGUGUUUCUGUUCUUGGGACUUAUCUCAUCCUUUCACCUCUCUACAAAUAGGUGGAGUACGACCCUGGUGAACUCUUUUCAUCUCCUCUUCAUAGAGAAGGCUAAAAUUGCAUUCCAACCCCUCUAAAUCCUCCAAUUUGCUCAAUUCCACCUUGAGGAUUGCUGUUUUAGCAGAAUUCUAGCAGCGACCUUUGGCGUUUUGGCUCGUGUGCGAUGUAGGAAGGUCGGAUUGCAAUAAAACUUAGUUUAUUGGUUAGCUAACUUCCUGGAGAUUUCGUGGAGGCCUUUUUGACAACAUUUGAUUGAGGUUAGUAUAGUCAAUUUGGUAUUUUUCUUCGCUGUUGAUGUUUUUGAGCUGAAAUUGAGUUUUAUCGGUUUUCUUGAUGCAAUCUUUCGAGGAAGCUAGAUUUCAGACCUGAGGGUGAUACUCUAUUCUAGUUUACUGGAUUUGGGACCUUUCUUCACCUGAAUUGGAGUUGGGAAGGUAAAGUUGACAUUGGACAUGGAGGAAUUUAGCUUUAGUACUGAAAUUUGGGAGUUGUAAUGCAAGAUUUGGUGUUUUUGAUGUUUAGAUCUUUGGAGAAGUUUGGUUGCUGGUUCUGAGUGAUUUCGGUUGGUCUUGGUAGGGUUUCCAGCAACUUUGUGACCUCGUGCUGCCGUGGAUUAACGCUAGAGGUGGGUUAAAUGUGAUGCUUACCGAAUUCGGCGGAUUUCCUUCUAAGUUAAUAUUGUCAACAUGUAUUGUUAGUUGUUAGAUUAUAUUAAUCGGCUCAAAUUUAUGAUUUGCAUGCUUAUUGAAAUCUGAAUUGGGAGCUUAAAAUGUUUGUUAAAUAUACAUGUUGGACUUGAAUUUGACUUAGGAGAAAACUAGCGAUUCUACACCGUCAUUUGUUAAAACUACCAGAUUUAGCUCUAGGAGCCGUAGUUUGUUUGUAUCGCCGCAGUUUGUGAACGGUGGAUACCCAGAAUAGUGUAGAAUGCAAUUACACUCGUGCUGAGAUGCCGAGCUUAUUUUUAUAGCAGUGUUUAGACUGUUCCAGACUGUCGGGUGCCGUUGAGGUGGACGAUGGACCCAGAUUACUGUUUUUGCAUCAGAUUGUGCCGAGGGCACGUGGGUUUGGUUUUUGGACCCUGUUUACUUUGACUAUAGUCUGUGAGAGCCUGAUUGGGCUCGGUAGAGAUACGCUUGCAUACUCGGUUGGGUAGCGCCCACGAGUGCCACUCCGGAGUCGGGCUUAGUGCGUUUGCGUUAAUGUCGUUGUGUCCUGAUUGGACUUGCUCUCUACUGACGGCCUUGCGUUGAGGUAGCUGUGUAGCUUCGACAGGCGGGACGGAUGUAUUCACAAUCCCUAGUAAGAUUGGGUCAGAGACUGCUUUAUUCUACAUAUAGUUAGUGUUGGAUCAUGAUAGUAUUGUGGCAUAUAGCUGUAGAUUAUUUUCAGAUCUUUACUAUCAUUGAGCAUAUCUUCUGUAGACUUAGUGGGUGAGCCGUUGAGGUUGGUAGCGGUACCCACUGAGGACUACUUCUUUUUGCAGUAGUUCUCACGCCCAGUUGUGGAUCUUUUGCAGAGCCUUCGGUUGCGGCUGCUGCUACUGCUGAUAGUAAUCGUGGAAAAGGUGUUGCGAGUUAGAGCCCUUCCUAACGAGUCACAGAGCUAGAGGAGUACCAGCUAUAGGUAGUUGUAGUUUUUGGGUUAUUAUACAUACUGAUGUUUGUAUCUCGCUGGAGCGAGUGAUUUUUGUAUACUAUGAUGUUAUGUAUGUAUAGUGAACCUUUGUUAUUAUAUAUGUUUUCUUUUUAGCAGCUCUAUACUAUUGGUUAUAGUAUUGUAUGAUUACAGGUACAGGUACAGUUUCACUUUGUAUAUAGAAAAAUUUUUUUUGUAUACGACGGGUCUGUUAACGUGCCCGAGGAAACGAGUAAUCCGGAGCGUGACAUUAAAUGCACAUGCACGUGCAUGUAUUUCCUUACAAUGGUAUUAGAGCCACCUCGUGUCGCCACAAAAAUUAUUCUUGUUACUGAUUUGGAUUUGGGGUUGUAUGAUUUAACCCUAAUGUGAAAGUAUAUACAAAACAUAUUUCAUAUAUUUGAUAUAUGAAAGUAAUUGGUGACAAUUAUAAAUCCCGGGCGACGUAGUUAAUAUGUCAUUAUCUUAUGGUGGUUAAUUAUUUAAGUUAGCAUGCAAUUAAUAAAAGGAUUUUAAUUGCAUAUAACUUAAUCUAUUAACCUAGGUAUGUUAUAUAUAAAGGCUAAAUCAAAUUACAUAUGUUGGGGUAUGAGAUGCACUAUAUGAUUUCAUCAUAUGGUCUGAGAUUAUUUAGUAAUCAAUGUAUACAAAAUAAUUGUGUUAGAUGCAAUUUAAGAGUAAAUUGAAAUAAAGACCAAAACUUCCUAUUAUAAAUAUUAAGUUGUAAUGAAGAGUGUUAGGAACACCCUAUUGUGGCCUUCUACCAUUGAAAGGUGUUGGCAUUUUCCUAAUUGUUGAAUGAUACGCAUGGUUACAUGGGCCACUUACAUGAAGAAAGCGCAACCACCUUAUCAACAUUUGAUGUUGUGUGGUAAAAUUAGUAUUGUACCCAACAACUGUCAGGUGAGGGUUCAAUAUUAGUUUUACACACAUAUUGAACGGUAGGUCAAAUUUAACUAGCAUGUUGGGCCAAUAACUGUUAUGUGAGGCUUUUACGUCCUAGAGGCCAAGGAAUAAUUGCAACAUGUUUCUGAAACAUUGAACAAGAGUUGUCCACUCAUCUAUUUGCUAAUUAUCAAUAACUGUUAGGUGAGAUAAUUUGCAAAAUUGGUGAGACCACAAUCCCCACUAGAAAUCAAUUUAGGAGGUUUUCGUUUCUUCACUAAAAAAGUGUGGACAUCCAGAAAACUCAGUGGGAGACACCAUUUGAUUAAAAGUCUAUAAUCAAGUGGAAUAAUGAAAAGUACAUAACUAACUGAAUAUCUUUACCUUCUACAGAAUAUGGCUGCUUCUAACCCUCUCACUAAAAUUCUUGAUGCCAACCGCUUAACUGGCCCUAAUUUUUCUGAUUGGCUACGGAACUUGAGAAUCAUUCUCAAUUCUGAAAAAAUUGCCUAUAUUUUGACCACUCAUGCUCCUGAACUUCCAGCUGAUGAUAAUGAGCAACAGAGAGCUGCUUAUGCAAAAUGAAUGGAUGACGAUAAUAGAGUCAGGUGUUAUAUGUUGGGAUCAAUGAGCAAUGAGCUAUAACAUCACUGUCCAUGUGUUCAUGUUGACGUUGCAACUCAUUGCUCAUCGAUGCCAACAUGUAACAGCUGACUCUAUUAUCGUCAUCCAUCCAUUUUUCAUAAGCAGCUCUCUGUUGCUCAUUGUCAUCAACUGGAAGUUCAGGAGUAGGAGUGGUCAACAUAUAGGCAAUUUUCUCAGAAUUGAGAACGAUUCUCAAGUUCCGUAGCCAAUCAGAAAAAUUAGGGCUGGUUAAACGGUUGGCAUCAAGAAUUUUAGUGAGAAGGUUAGAAGCAGCCAUAUUCUGUAGAAGGUAAAAAUAUUCAGUUUGUUAUGUACUUUUCAUUAUCCUAUUUGAUUAUGGAUUUUUAAUCAAAUGGUGUCUCCCACUGAGUUUUCUGGAUAUCCACACUCGUUUAGUGAAGAAACAGAAACCUCCUAAAUUGAUUUCUGGUGAGGAUUGCGGUCUCAUCAAUUUUGCAAAUUAUCUCACCUAACAAUUAUUGGUAAUUAGCAAAUGAUGAGUGGACAACUAUUGUCCAAUGUUUCAGAAACAUGUUGCAAUUAUUCCUUGGCCUCUAGGACGUAAAAGCCUCACCUAAAAGUUAUUGGCUCCACAUCCUAGUUAAGUUUGACCUACCAUUCAAUAUGUGUAUAAAACUAAUAUUGAACCCUCACCAAACAGUUAUUAGGUACAAUACUAAUUUUACCACACAACAUCAAAUGUUGAUAAGGUGAAUGCGCUUUCUUCAUGUAAGUGGCUCAUUUAACCAUGCGUAUCACUCAACAUUUAAGAAAAUGCCAACACCUUACAACGGUAGAAGGCCACAAUAGGGUGUUCAUAACACUCUUUGUUACAACUUAAUAUUUAUAAUAGGAAGUUUUUGUCUUUAUUUCAAUUUCAUCAGAUCUUACUUUUAAAUUGCAUCUAAUGCAAUUAUUUUGUAUCUAAUACAAAAUAAUAUUAAACAUUGAUGACUAAAUAAUCUCAGACCAUAUGAUAAAUUCAUAUAGUGCAUCUCAUGCCCCAACAUAUGCAAUUUGAUUUAGCUUUUAUAUGUAAUCUACCUAGGUUAAUAGAUUAAGUUAUAUGCAAUUAAAAUCCUUUUAUUAAUUGCAUGCUAACUUAAAUAAUUAACCACCAUAAGAUAAUGACAUAUUAAUUACGUCGCCCGGAAUUUAUGAUUGUCACCAAUUACUUUCAUAUAUCAAAUAUAUGAAAUAUCUUUUGUAUAUGCUUUCACAUUAGGGUUAAAUCAUACAACCUCAAAUCCAAAUCAAUGACAAGAAUAAUUUUUGUGGCGACAUAAGGGUGGCUCUGAUACCAUUGUAAGGAAAUACAUGCACGUGCAUGUGCAUUUAAUGCAGUGGAAAUAAAUUUUAUUUAUAAAAUAUGAUCCAAUCAUGUAUACUUUAAUAUCAUAACAUUUAUGAUAUUAGUAUAUAUAUGUACCAAGAUCAUCUCGUGUGAUACAAAAAUUAUUAUUGUAAUCUAAUUAGAAGAAAGUUUCGAAUUUCAAUCUGUGUUGAUUACCGAAAUUAUUUUACGGUUGAUUUUGGAUCUGAUCUUCUGAUUGUUUUAGCCGCACAAGUGUUCGGCCUCUAUAUUUAUCCACACAAGGCUGCUCCGGGAUCUGUGCUUCACACAAUCACAGUGUAAUCUCGAAACUCCUUUCGUGAUCUCUUGUGUCAAUAUAGAGAAAAAUUAAUCCUCAAAAUUAUGCUAGCAAUUUCAACAAAAUUAACUAUAGAGACCAAUUAAUAUAGGAUGACCUCUCUCUUAUGAUUAAAAGAAAGCUUUAUAUGAUUGGGAGAAUUUUCUUUCUUUCUCUUGCACUUCACUUUAUGUGUUGUGAUAAUUAUCAUCAUUGAGAGAUGCCUCAAUUUAUAGGAGAGGAAAAAGGUAGAGAGCCGAGGAAGAGGUGGGAGAAACGUUCUCAUAAUGAGACGUUGAUGUCCUUGCAAUUAAUAAAGCAUCUCUCUCUCAAAUUUGGAGAGGAGAGAAAGAAAGAAAACACACACCAUAAAUGAGAGGAGAGUUAACUCCUCUAAUUUGAUAUGUAUAGAGAAGAAGAGAGGAAAGGAAAAAUGUUUUCACUUUUCUUCUCCAUUAAUAGUACAAUUAAUAUGUACAAUUUUAUUUUCUUUCUCUCUCCCUUUUUGUCUUCAUCUCCCAAUAAUUAAUAAAAGGAUUAGAUACGAAGAGAGAGUUGUCACCUUAUAAGUUAUUGCAACUAUUGCACAUAAGCCCUCGUACUAAAUCAAAUUUAGUUUUAGGUCACUCUACGCAAAUUCCAUCUUUUGCAAUUAGAGUUUUUGUUAACCACCUUAGUAAAUAAAUUCUUAUUUUACUACUUUAGCAAAAUAGUCUCUAUUAAUUCUCCAAGCACUCGAUCACACAUGGCCUUUAUUGUGUGUGAUCACAUAGGUUCAAUUCUACCUGGUAGUGAGAUGUGACACUAAACUCUUUUAAUGUCACCAUUGGGACUCUUCUCGAUGGAGCAAAAUAUUUUUGGCUCUCCCAACUGAGUGUAAUUAACUAUCUUAAUCACUCUCAUGGGUCCCACAAUCCACGAGUGACACCUAGCAGUAUAUCGCGGCAAUCCAAGUAAAAUUAAUAAUAGACAGAAUCUCUAGGUGCAGUUACCGUCUGAUAAAAUCCUUCUAUCAAUUGUCCUGAUUGAGUUGAGGUUAUGGAUAACUUGUCAAACCCAUUACUCAAUCAUAUGUCUCAUCUGAUUAACAAAUAAUAUUGAAACUCUUUUUCAGAAAAUCACACUGUCUUGGCCAAGGGCUUUUAUAUCUUGUAAAACAGAUAGCAUAGGAUAAUUACCUCUCUACCGAGGGUGAUAGAUUCUAUCUUGACACACACCUAUCUCCACGUAUGACCCACUGCAGCCAACAUGUGUUGACUUAACCCAUGAUUAGGGUAUAAGUAUUUACACAGUCAAACUACAAUAACCCAUACGCAAGAUAACAGUGGUGCCUCAGGUCAAAGGAUCACUCACACUACUACAGUAUGGAACAAUUCACUAACGAGUGAGUAGACAUUCAUGUGAUUGUUUAUAGUUGAUCACGCUCAGUGAAAUUGUUCUCCAACAUUCACCUGUAUGUUUACUCUAGUGUCACCACACUAAUGACUUGAGACUCGUCAUUCCAUAAGGGAAGUACAACAUACACUGAUCUAUCCAGAUUUAUCACCGCCCUCGUGAUAAUCCUAUUUUCAAGAGCAUUUAAGAAUUAAUUACAGAAGAAUAUAAAUCUCAAAUUUUAACUUCUUAGAAAUAUAAUUCUUCUAUUAUUAAUUCUAUGGACGAUUCAUAAAUAUGCAUUUGGUAAUAAUAUGAAUGAAGAAUGCCAGCUUUAAUCAUAGAAGAAAAGUACACUGAUAUUAUCCUUUUAAGUUAUGACAGAGAUUGGCUUAUAAGGCAUAUAACUAACAAUUUUGACUUGACGUAUGCCGUCGUCCAUAUCAGUGGAUCGAGGAGACGAAGUGGUUGAAAAGAAUAAAAAAGAAUGAGCCAGAAUAGUAAAAUAAGUGAAUAUGUGGAAAGAGACGAAAUAUACCGCCAAGAGUAGAGGAGAAGUUGUCGACUCCUUGUCAGAACCCCCACUCAACGCUUCUUGUUCCGAAGAAUCAACCAUGGUCUCCUUAUCCUUAGAGAGGCCAGCUGAAACGAAGCAUAUUGGAAACAGAAUAAAUCAAAAAAGAAAGGGGCAAAGAAGAGGGAAUCUGAAAAAUAGAAGUACCUACUGCUUGAUCAAAAUCAAAGCAACGAAGAUGAUUCGGAAAGGGCAUUGUGAAUAACCCAUCGCAGAAAUUGUCCUAUGCACGCCGGAAAAGUGCAUCGGUUAAUCAUGUUCUAUUCCGCCAAAAACUUACAGGGAGUAAAAGAGCGCCUCAAACAAUUCUCCAUUGUCGAGAUCUAAUCCGCCUCGACUGCUUCUUUGGUAGGGUGUGAGAACGAGAAUUGUUGGCCAUAAAAAACUUAGGUGGAACCAAAAGUGAUUGAAUUAGACCGAACUAUCGCACCUUCGAAGUAACAAAAAUUCAGAAUCUCUUUUUUGUGAUGAUAAUGCCAAAAAAUAUCAGUUGGCUUAUCUGUCGUUCUUUAUAUUGAUCAUUACAUGCCUCUUGAAUCUUCUCUUCCCUAUUUUUCUAUUUGUUAUUUGAUUUAUUAUGUUUUUUGGGGCUUACUACAGAUUUACUCCUCUUGUUUUAUUAUUGAUAGGAAUUCUCUUGUUGAGACCCUAAGAAUCAAUUGAAAACUCAGAUUCGUUUAGAACCAUGAAUGAUUUAUUUGCAAUAAACUUUCGUUCUUGGUGUCAACUUAGUCUUCAAGCCGAUAUGCAGAUCCCGUGCAGCCAGGAAAGAAUACAAGAGUUCGAAGUACUCACUGGCAUUAGAUGAAACCAUUUGGCUUUAAAUAGCUUCGAACCUUGCAAUAAACCAAGUUGGGCCAAUCAGUCGCUCUCUGAAAGGUACCCAGUUGAUGAGGUGUCGGGUAUUGUAGGAGUAGAAAACUCGAAAGUAAGUCAGAAAUCUGAAGGUUGGCCCAAAGAAAGGGGUUCCAGACAAUCGAGGCCAGCCCCGUACGUGUCGAAAUGUGGAACUGAAUCCUAGUCAAAGGGGAUUCGGCACAAAACAGCUGCAAGCAGUGUUGGAGAAACCACAUGAUCCUGCAGCCCGAACUGAUGACUAUACUGCUCUUCAAUAGCAACGAUUUGAUUGACUCUAGGAUAUCCCGAUAAAAAAACUAAAGCAAAUACGAGCUGAGAGAUAGUUUUUCGUCGUGGGCCAACGCGAAGGCGAUUAGGACAAAGUCCCGGUUGAUCUUCUAUGAUCGAGUGUAACGACCCGGCCCGCUAGCAAUAAUAACUCAUUGAGCCCAGGCCGCUGGCCCAAAAUGCUUAAGCUCAGUUAUUAUGUCUAGCUUAGUUAAGUUUAUAUACCUCCACAUUUAGCCAUAACUACUCAAUAUGGGAUUAUUUGGGUGUCACAGACUCCACCCAUUUAGGCCCUGAUGUCCUCGUCAAUUCUAAACACACACACAACCCAUGAUCACAAGGCAAUGUGAGACUUGUUUCACUGGCCUUUCUCAUUGAGAUCCUGACUUAGCCUGUCAUUCAUUGAUCCUGGCUUAGUCUGCCAUUCCAACCCUGGCUCAGCCAAGACUCAUCUUACACUUCUGGCUGGUGAACCGGCUCUGAUACCAAAUACAAUGACCCGACCCGCUAGCAAUAAUAACUCGUCGGGCCCAAAUCAUUGGCCUCGAAUACUUAACCUCAGUUAUUAUGUCUAUCUUUAUCAAAAUUAUAUACCUCUACAUCAAGCCAUAACUACCCGAUGUAGGAUUAUUGGAGUGUCAUGUCGGGUACAGAAAAAAUUAUGGCAGAGCCAAUAAAGAAGGGAAGUGGUAUGCUCAUCUUAGGUGACAGGAGUAGUGGGGGACUGACCCAUAAACAGCUUCAUAAAUUUGGUAUAAGCGAGGUCCGUUUUUGGGUCUAGAAGGGCCUUAAAUUUUGCUAGAACCAUCAAGAUUGUAGGCCAUAGAUAGGGGUGUAAUGUGGGCCGUAUCGGGCCAGCACGACCCACAUUAAGCCGGGCCGAAACAGGUCGGAGGCUAGCCCAGCACUGCUUGGCCACAAAGUCGGGCUGUGUCGUGCUGGGUCGUAGUUCUUUGACCACAACCCAACACGAACCCUGGCCCGGACGGCAUGGGCCGUGCCGGGCGGGGCCAAGCUUCGGGCCAUCCCUUUUUAUUUAUUUAAUUUUAAAUUAAAAAAAUAAAAUAAAUUAAAAUACUAUUUUUUAAAAAUAAUAUAUGAGAAAAAAUUUUAAAUUUUAAAAUAUAUUUAUAAAAAUAAUAAAAUUUUAAAAUUAUUUAAAAAUUUUUAAUAUUUUUGGACCAAAAUACCCUCACAAUAGUCAAAUGGGAGGAUAUUUUGGCCCUAAGAAGACCAAAAGCCCUGCUCCUAAGGGUCUGCUGUAGCAAACCCUUGGGAGAGGCCUAAGGCAUACAACCUGGCUCCCAACUCCCAAAGCAUUGGGAGUUGGGAGCCUUUCGGAGCCGGUCUUUGGCUCCUCUCAGGCCCGGCAUGGCCCAGGCCCGUGUUGUACCGAGCUGUGCCGGGCCAACGGACCGCAGAAAGGUGGCCCAACCCGAUCUGAUUUAUCNGCCGAGCUGGGGCUCCUCUCAGGCCCGGCAUGGCCCAGGCCCGUGUUGUACCGAGCUGUGCCGGGCCAACGGACCGCAGAAAGGUGGCCCAACCCGAUCUGAUUUAUCAGGCCGAGCCAGCCCGGCACGAGUGCUACAGUACUCGUGUCGUGCCUUUGCCCGGCCCAAUAUCCUGCCUGGUCGGGUGGCUCGUGGGCCGCCUGGCUCGUUUUACAAGCCUAGCCAUAGAUAGGAUAGUGCCAUGAGGAUGAAGACCAAGGAUUACUGCCACAUAAAAAUGGUCGGGAUAAAAGGCCCAACCAUAAAUGGAAGGUAUUCGAAGCAGAGGACCAGAAGCAUAACGCCGCAGCAAAAAGGAGAUUGUCGACUUGGGGAGUCUUUGAAAGUUAAAUGGUGUCGUAAAUCCCAAUGUCACGCCAUGAGUCGGCAAAAGAUGCUUUAACUCAAUCUAACUAUGCUAGGUAUGUCUCCGAGAAGCUAGGCCAGGUGCGAAGGCUGUUUCUUGGUGAUUUUGAGGAAAACCAAAAAUGGAAAUGAAUGAUAUCCGGCAUUACAGGAAGCCCUCCCGCUGAGAAAAAAAAUGUUGUUGCUAGAGGGUCCCAAGAAAGAAGGGCCGAGAAUGAAGCAGGAAGGGUCAGCCACAGAUGACUUCAAAAGGUGGAAGUCAACAUUAGAAGAUGAGGAAAAAGAAGGAAUCCGAGCCAUUGGAGAAGGAGGCUUUGGAGAAGAAGGCUCUAGAGAAGAGGAAGAGCAAAAGAAAAAUAGUCGAGAAGAAAAAUAAGGAAGCAGCUUGGAGGAGACAAUAUAGUGUCGUUGGGGGGAGUUUUGAAAAGGAUUUGAUGAUGAUGGCAACAUUUAAUCUCCUAUUUAAUGCCCUAGGUCGCUAGGUAAGACAAAAGGCACCCAAAAUCGUAGUCGUCGAAGAAUAAAAUUAAGUACGGAAUAAUUAAAAGGCGUGGCUAAACGAGGCUGCUGAGCGGAACAAUGAUAUGACCGAAAAGGAUGGUCAAUCUCGACAAUUAAUCCAGCGGCAUCUAAUCUCAGUCAUUAAUCAGGUAACGUCGGUCACCCGAAACACCUAUUCAGGAGACUGCCAGGGGUGUAUUUUUGGCAUCGAGAAAAUAACGCCACAUGGUAAGCGGUUUGGCCCACAUGAUCAAACAGUGAGAACAAAACAACAGGUGACACGUGGUGCAUGCACUAGGAGCCAAGGAGAAGAACGCCUAAACAGAAAAGCGGUUUAGGCGGGAAUAGUUAGAUACGUAGAGGUAGAGUUCCGUGGCCAACAAGGUAUCAGCCGAAGCACAAUCCGAAGAAAUAGGGACAUGGCCGAAAAAAUCUCCACGACAAGAAUCACCCAAUAACUACAGGCGGUAGAAUAUAUUACAAUAAAUAGGAAAAAGCGCACCUAUGAUUAGAGUCCUUCAUAUGAGCAAACGACUACUGCAAAUUUCAAUUUUUUCUUUAGCAUUUAUGACUUUCCGGGAGUAGUUCACAAAUUUUUCUUUUCUUUUAUCAUUUUUUUCGAGAGUUUAGUUAAUUUUAAGAGCUUUUCUAGGACUAAAUUUAGCUUUUCUACCCGCUUUUGUAAUCUCUCUUUUGCAGUUAGUAUAAAUGGUCGGUUCUUUCAGCUAAGCUCGCCUUUCGGUUCACUUGUAGAUAGUUAGCAGAAGAGCCCGAUUGAGUAGAUUCCUUCUCAAUCGAAUCGCUUGACUUAGUAAUGGAGCAUUUGAUAGUCAUUCGAGGAACCGAUUCGCAUUCCAAGGCUGUGUCUGACUUGGUCAAUGCAUUGACCUGGUCAAUGUCGUCCCGCAUUUGGUUUCUAGCCCAAUAGUCUCCAAUGAGUUUCCUACCGGAUUGGAUUGUUACAAAUUCACCCUCUAAUAAAAAUGUAUUAAAUAUGGAAUAAGGUGAAGUUAUUUUAAGAGUUUUGGAACCACUAUCAAUGAAUUUAUCAAAUUUGAAAGUUUCGGGACUAAAAUAUAAUCCUUGACUGAAAAUAUAAUUUUGAAAUAAAGUGAAACUAUUUCAAGAGUUUAAGGACCAUUAUAUAUCCUACACGUGCAAUUUGCCUAUAUAAUAACUAGGGCUGGCAAACGAGCGAGCCGGCUCGCGUUCGACUCGUGUUCGGCUCGAUAUUCGGCUCGCUCGAGCUCGACUCGAAAUUAAAUAAGCCGAGCUUGAACAAAAUAAAAGGCUCGAAAUUCAUUUCAAGCCGAGCUUGAGCCUAGAUUUAGGCUCGAAAUUAAUUUCAAGUCGAAUUUGAGCUGACAUAAGCUCGCUCGAGCUCGGCUCGUUUCCACCCCCUAAUAAUAACUGUGGCACAAAUGGAUUAUGUUUAGAUUCAGAUAUCAAAGGCAAAAGAAUACUAUCCACUGCUGUCAAGACUAACUGUACGCUGCAUCUAAAUUGGCAAACAUGCUUCCCCAAUUAUAUACUUUGCGAAAGCAUAAAAAAUACAAUUAAUGUGGAAGUCACAAUUGCUCUGAAGGCACUUCAAAGUCAGAAAGUAUGUUAGAAUAAAAUUUCUAUUUUUGUUGCUCUUCACGAAAGUUGGGUAGACUUUAGCAACAAAUGGGCAGUAGGAGGUUUAGCUUAUUCUGCACGUCCCCUCAUGUCAGUAUUUCUUCCUCUGUUACUUUCAGUGCUUGACCAAUAUCUUAAUAAAAGAAAAAUUAAAAAAAAAAAUCGAUGACUUUAGAGUGGCCAUAUUUUUCUCAUAGAAUGACAUCAAGGAUGAUAAGAAGAUACUUACUACACAUAAAAUAGGACUAAGAAUAUGGAUGCGUGUGGGGACAAUAGUUUGAAGCUAAUCUUUUGCUAAUAUUAUUUAGGAAAACGUGCGUAAAAACCCUCUGAACUCCAACAGUUUUGUAACCGGUGUGAACUUUUAAUUUUGACAACUCAAUUGUCGAAUAGUACUCCAUCCUUCUCCUCUGUUAAAGUUACUAAUCACAUAACUAUAUUUGUAAUCUUCCAAAACUUUAAAUUACAAAAAAAAAAUAAAAAUCUAUUUCUUCUAUUCUAACACAAAAACAAAUAAAGAAAAAUUGAAAAUGGGUUCCUCCUGUUCUUUAAUCCUAAUGUCUAAUUAUGAUAAUUAGACGAGAAAAGUAUAUUUUCUGUGUUCUUGAAGCUAGACAAAGUUAUAUAUAAAAUAUACAAUCAAAAUGACUAUUUAAUUAGUAACUUUACGUGAGCAGAUUAAUCUACUAAUCUAUAUAUAAAAAAAAAAAAAAUUUAGAAUGUUUGGUUGUUAAAAUGAAAAGUUUAAAAAUUUAUUUGCAAAAGUGCUGAGGUUCAGAAAAUUUUUAAAUAAAUUUUUUUCAAUUAUUUAAUGGUUUGGAGGGUCAUUGAUUCAAUCAUGGGAUCAAGCCGAUGUUUGUUUUGCCCAAAAGUCAAAUCAAUGAAAAGUCAGGUUCCACAGGGCUCUCACGUCAUCGCCAAAUCUAUUGAUUGCUCAAAAGUGAUGGCCGGUGACAAAACGUAUCGAGAACCUCUUUUCAUUUCUUUUUUUUUCUUUUUUUUUUUUCUCAUGUAAAAAAGUACCAUACUAUGAACUAUGAAAAAAGAAAUGUAAACGAAAUAAAUGAGAAAAUAAAUGCUAAACGAAAAGAUUGUAGAGCAAUAAUUAAUCUUGCUCUGCUUCACCUUUUCCCGGUUCUCUCGCUCUCCUGAAACCGUCGCUUGCCCAAAUCCCACCGCAUUAAAAUGUCCCUCUAUUGCGUCCUCCUUUGACAAAUUGCACGAAGCAUCGGCCUAAAAGAGUGGAAGAUAACAGCCACCUUGCUCAGCUAGCUAUUCUUCUCCCACCAAAACCCAUUGCGAAAGGGACCUUCGCCUUUGACCUCGCAUACUUAAAUAAUAAUUUAAAUAUGGAGGAGGCAACAGGCAACAGGCAACUAGGCAAGUGGGUUUUAAGUAUAUGUAAAAUAAUUACAUUACAUAAAAGGAAAGGAAAGGCCAAAAAAAGAAAAGAAAAGAAAAGAAAAGAAUAGCUAUAUAAAUCUAAAUCUUUAUCUUUAUCUUUCCCCUCCCCUCCCACCAUGGCUCUUCCAAAGCUCCCGGCCCGUCUCCUCCUCCUUUUGCUCUGCGUGAUCUCCGCCGUCGUCUUUGCAAGCGCGUACAGAAGUGGCUCCUCCGUCUACGGAGCUCCUCGUCGAAAUCAGGUGCCGGAGCGACACGGCAUUAGGAAGGUCCAUCUUGGUCCGCGCGGUCAUCUCUCCUUCCAGAUUGAAGGGCUGCCGUCGGCGUUCAGCUCCCUCCCUCGAGGGACGCAGAUCCCGCCGUCGGGGCCGUCCAAGCAGCACAACAGCCUCAGUGACUCCACUGCGACCAGCGGGGCUGUCGCGCCAUGACCCAGCAAACACACAUAUAAAUUUAUAAUUAACCAUCUACAUGCAUGUACGUAGGUAGAGAGUUUGUACGUAGCUGCUGGGGAAGUAAUUAAUUAUCCCAAGUAUUGAUUCUUGCACUAAUUACUUGUUGAUUGUCGCAAGAGGGUGCAACAGUGCACCUCGCCAAACAGGUAAGGUAGUUACUUAUUUUUGCUGAUUGGUUGGAGCUUGGAGCGCGGUCUUUUUUCUUUUCUUCUCUUUUCUUUUCUUUUUUUCUGUUCUGUUUCUGUUUCUGUUUCUGUUUGCUUAGUAUUAGUAGUUAAUUUCCAAAGGUUUGCAGUGUAUAAUGAGCUUUCUUCCUUCUCCUUAAUUGUCCUUUCAUCACCGCAGAAGAUGAUACCCAACUCGCAGAUUUUAGUUUUGAAAAGGGUGCAUUCACCUACCGUCCCAAGCGCAAGUGGCAAAGUACUUAAUGGUUGGUACCCGAGAUCCCGAGUUCAAAUUCUAAUUGAUUACAUUUCCAGAUAAGUUUAUUUUUAAAUAAAAUAAACAAAACGGGUAGCAUACAACCUAUCUCUCUCAAAAAAAAAAUUAGGCGGAAAAUUUGAAAUCCCGCAAUUUGUCUAUAUAUAUAUAUAUAUAUAUAGAGAGAGAGAGAGAGAGAGAGAGAGAGAGCGCGUCUGACUAUUAUAGUCUUAUGAGUAUGAUCGUCUUCGUAUUCAUAAGUCGUUUUCGAUAAUAGAGCUUUUAAAUCAACGAUCAUACCGUUAAAUAUUAUUUGGAGAAUUUAAAACUUAUAAAAAUCAAAUUUCAUAAUUUUUCGCUAUCAUUUACUUUACGAUUAAAAAGUCACAAAAUUAAUAAUUUUUUACGGCCGGUAUGGAAUACUUGCUAGUUUAACCAUAUAAAAGAAUUGAAAUAGAUUGAAUUUUUGAUAUAAAAUCUAUUCACUAGCUAGAUAAAGAUAAAUAACUCCUAUCUUAAAUUGAAGGAUCUGAUAAUCCAUUUUUAGUACGUCGUUCAAUUUUGAUCGCUCAUUUUAUACCCGCUUGAUGAACUUUAUUAUGAUUUCAAAAAAUUACAAAACUUAUUUUUAAAAGUUUCAAAUACUUUAGAUCAUAUUUAACGGAGUGUAUCAUCGAUUCGGAAGCUCCAUUAUUGAAAAUAACUUAUGAGUACGAAGAGUUCUAUACUCAUAAGAGUAUAAUAGCCUUACUCAUAUUGUCCUAUCGUCAUCGCAAAAGAUCAUACC